rnacentral:rRNA from 1 species
AUUGAACGCUGGCGGCAGGCUUAACACAUGCAAGUCGAGCGGAGAUGAGGUGCUUGCGCCUUAUCUUAGCGGCGGACGGGUGAGUAAUGCUUAGGAAUCUGCCUAUUAGUGGGGGACAACAUUCCGAAAGGAAUGCUAAUACCGCAUACGCCCUACGGGGGAAAGCAGGGGAUCUUCGGACCUUGCGCUAAUAGAUGAGCCUAAGUCGGAUUAGCUAGUUGGUGGGGUAAAGGCCUACCAAGGCGACGAUCUGUAGCGGGUCUGAGAGGAUGAUCCGCCACACUGGGACUGAGACACGGCCCAGACUCCUACGGGAGGCAGCAGUGGGGAAUAUUGGACAAUGGGCGGAAGCCUGAUCCAGCCAUGCCGCGUGUGUGGAGAAGGCCUUUUGGUUGUAAAGCACUUUAAGCGAGGAGGAGGCUACUUAGAUUAAUACUCUAGGAUAGUGGACGUUACUCGCAGAAUAAGCACCGGCUAACUCUGUGCCAGCCGCCGCGGUAAUAC